rnacentral:rRNA from 1 species
GACGAACGCUGGCGGCGUGCUUAACACAUGCAAGUCGAACGGAAAGGCCCUGCUUUUGUUGGUUUCUCGAUUGGCGAACGGGUGAGUAACACGUGAGUAACCUGCCCUUGUCUGUGGGAUAACAUCACGAAACUGGGGCUAAUACCGCAUAUGAUCUCCUGCUGUAUGGUGGGGGUUGGAAAGUUUCGGCGGUUCGGGAUCGACUCGCUGCUUAUCCGCUUCUUUGGGUGGUAGGUGCUGACCAAGGCUUUGACGGAUAGGCGGCCUGAGAGGGUGACCGGCGACCUGGGGACUGAGAUACGGCGCAGUAUCCUAUGGGAGGCAGUAGGGGGGAACAUUGCACAAUGGGCGGAAGUGAGAGGCAGCAACGUCGCGUGCGGGAUGACGGCCUUCGGGUUGUAAACCGCUUUCGACUGUGCCGAAGAGUGAGUGACGGUACUGGGUAAAAAAGCACCGGCUAACUACGUG